UACAGAGGGCCCAAGCGUUGUUCGGAUUCACUGGGCGUAAAGCGCACGUAGGCGGCUUUCUAAGUCGGGGGUGAAAUCCUGGAGCUCAACUCCAGAACUGCCUUCGAUACUGGAAAGCUCGAGUCCGGGAGAGGUGAGUAGAACUGCGAGUGUAGAGGUGAAAUUCGUAGAUAUUCGCAAGAACACCAGUGGCGAAGGCGGCUCACUGGCCCGGUACUGACGCUGAGGUGCGAAAGCGUGGGGAGCAAACAGG
rnacentral:rRNA from 1 species